UGAGUAACGCGUGGGUAACCUGCCCUUAAGUCUGGGAUACCAUUUGGAAACAGAUGCUAAUACCGGAUAAAAGCUACUUUCGCAUGAAAGAAGUUUAAAAGGCGGCGUAAGCUGUCGCUAAGGGAUGGACCUGCGAUGCAUUAGCUAGUUGGUAAGGUAACGGCUUACCAAGGCGAUGAUGCAUAGCCGAGUUGAGAGACUGAUCGGCCACAUUGGGACUGAGACACGGCCCAAACUCCUACGGGAGGCAGCAGCG
rnacentral:rRNA from 1 species